AUCCAAGGAUAUCGAGCAUGUUCCACACUUCAUCUAAUGAGAAAUUAAGAUUCUUAUCAAUGUUGCAGAGAAGUCAAUAGCUGCAGUUCCCAUAAACACCAUCAGACUUAAACUUAGAUGAUAUGAUGACAAUACAUACCUUCACCAAUGCAACCCUCUGACAAGAAAAUAGCUGACAAGGUCAAGAACAGGAUAGUAUUGCUUUCAGAUAGAUCUUGAUGAGGUAAAUUUUCUGGCAUAAUGACUUGGUUUAAAAGAACAUAAUGGCCACUUUUUUCAUCAAAUUCAUGAAGUAAAUAGCCAAACAC